CAAAUAUUUUCUACCACUCUGUGGCCUGUCUCUUCAUUUUUUAGAAGAGCAGAAGUCCUUAACUUGGAUAAAGUCGGUUUCUCCUUUUGUAGGAAGAAAACUUCCUCAACCUGAUGAAAAACCUACAGCUGACAUCAUCCAUAAGGCUAAAUGCUUUAUGUCCAUGAUAGGAAAGAAACAAGGAUGUCUGCUCUCACCAGCUCAAUAUUUAAUUUUGUGUGGGAGAUCUUAACUAGUGCAAUAAGAAUCCCAUUUCUCAUUUCCUCAAGGUCCAGUCCUCACAAGCCAGGACUAUUCAAGCACAUCCCAAACCCAUAUAGUCAUUCGUACUGUGACCCAGUGAAACGGAGCUAUUGGUUUCCCUACAAGUUUUCCUUCUGUAGAUCUUUGUGAAAGCUUGAACAUCAAGCUUUGUCAAAUGACUCUGAUUCUUCACCAUAUCUGUAUCUUGUUCAGUGGAGAACAUGCAGUCCUGGAGCUGAUUCUAGAAUCCAUUUCAAAAAUAAGGGAAGAGAGAGAGAAAGUGACUCCAAGCAAAAUGUCCCUGACAUUUCUUCAUUCCAAGAGGGUGUUUUUACCAUAAGAAGGAAUCAUAGAUUACUGGAGUUGGAAAAAGCCAUGAAUAAGAUCCUUGUACUGGAUGUAGAGAUCAAGCCCCAUAGAGAUUAAAUGACUUGCCCAAGGUCACAGUUUGUUAGUCUCUUAGAAGAAAUAAUACAUUUUUCUAAAAUAGGAUGCUUCUCACAUUUUAGUCUUUUACUCUCCUUAGCAAAUUUAACCUUUUCCAUGCAGCUGUUGAGAUAACCUACUGGGUGUAUAAGCUACAUCAACACAAGGCACGUAUCUCAGAAAAUGCCCCCAGACUGCCUCCCUUUUCAUUAUUGAAAACCACGAGAUGAAACUCUUUAAUAACCCACUGCACAAGAGGACCAUUACUGUCAGCAUAUACCAUUCAGCCAUAUAUUAUAGCUUUUUACUUCUCCACACAAAAUUGCCUUGAAAUUUACAUUUGCUAUAAAGGAUUCAAGUCCAUCACCGUUAAUUUCCCUCUACAAAUUAUGUUUAAUUAUCACCUCUUUCCACCUAUAAAGAAGCCCCUCUUGUACUUCUGUCUCCAUAUAGCUCUCAAGAAGUGUUUCCUCAGCAUGAAUCUUUGAUGGUGCUUUUAUAUCCCUUACAUGCCCUUCCUUCUCAAGCUCACACAGCCCACUUAGAGAUAUGGAAAUGAACGGCUUGCCUGGCGCCUCAUUUCCUUCAUACAUAUGAAAUCUGGUCUCCCUAAGCAGGAGAAAAAGAGGAACAUUUUCCAGCUUUCGCCUGUGGACAGUUAGGCUAGAAACAUCCCAUUCUAGGAUUCAGAGAAGCUUUGAAAGGCUAUCCAUGAUUGAUUGCUUAACAGGUCAUAUACUACAUCUAAUCUUUCUGAUGCUUCAAGCAUCAUCUUUAUUCUCUCCCUCAGUUGUGGAGCCCUAGAAGAUAUCAGUUUAAGGGAAAUAUUGAGAAAUCCCAAAAUUAUAUUUUACUCUUUUUUCCAUUUAAUUUCUAUGCUUCCUUAGUACCAUAUAAAGAGCAUGGUCUUCAGAGUCAAAAAUGUUAGCAGUCAAAUCAUAACUCUACCAAAAAUUUACGUAACUUCAAGCAAAUCGCUUAUCUCUGAGUCCCUGUUCUCUCAACCUUAAACAUAAAGCUAUUUUAAGUUUAACUAAGAUUAGCAUGUAUUAUGCUUGGCACAUUCAAGGAAUUCAAAUGUUAAUUAUCCCCUUCCAGAUUCAAUGAAGCAGUAUUUUUGUCUAUAAUCUACUGUCUGCAGCUGAUGGAAACUCAACUCAAACUAGCUGAAGCUAAAAUGGAAUUCACUGACUCACAUAACCAGGAAGUCCUGGCAUGUCUCUGGCUCUGGACAUAGCUGGAUUAAACUUCCCAAUGUCGCCAUGGCUCUGGACUCUGUUUAUCUCUGCUUGGAGUUGCUCUGAACAUAAGCACUGACCAAAUGACUGGCAAAAUAGCUAGUAUAAGUUAAAGAUCUUCAGCCCCCUCUCUUAGUAGACCCUCAGUGAAGAAAACUGUCUCCUACUAUUUACAUAUCAAGUUCAGGGAAGAUUCUAACUGGCCUUGCUUGAAUCAUGUGCCUGCCUCCCAGUCACUGUGACCAUUGGGAAGGCACUACUCAGUUUGGCCACCCUGGCUAAGGACCUACCAUUGUGGUAGAGAACAAAGUGCCAUGAUUUAUAGUCAUAGGAUUAAAUGGAGUGAGGGAUCCUCAAGAAACCAGAAGGACAAUUAAAAUAAUACUGGGAGAAAAAAUUUAAAUAAAUGACAACUAUAGCUUCCAGUGUGCAUUUUUGUCAAUCAAUAAAUAAGUUCUUGGUUUCUUUAUUCAUAACUAGAUUUUCUUUUGCACUCGAGAUUGUCUUGUAUGGGGACCUGUAGUCUAUGUCAGGGAUUAGCAAACUACAACCCAGAGACCAAAUGUGGCCCACUG